GUGGGGAAUCUUGCGCAAUGGGCGAAAGCCUGACGCAGCCAUGCCGCGUGAAUGAUGAAGGUCUUAGGAUUGUAAAAUUCUUUCACCGGGGACGAUAAUGACGGUACCCGGAGAAGAAGCUCCGGCUAACUUCGUGCCAGCAGCCGCGGUAAUACGAAGGGGGCUAGCGUUGCUCGGAAUUACUGGGCGUAAAGGGCGCGUAGGCGGACAGCUUAGUCAGAGGUGAAAGCCCAGGGCUCAACCUUGGAAUUGCCUUUGAUACUGGCUGUCUUGAGUUUGGGAGAGGUGAGUGGAACUCCGAGUGUAGAGGUGAAAUUCGUAGAUAUUCGGAAGAACACCAGUGGCGAAGGCGACUCACUGGCACAAUACUGACGCUGAGGCGCGAAAGCGUGGGGAGCAAACAGGAUUAGAUACCCGUGUAGUCC
rnacentral:rRNA from 1 species